UGGAACUGAGACACGGUCCAGACUCCUACGGGAGGCAGCAGUGGGGAAUUUUGCGCAAUGGGCGAAAGCCUGACGCAGCAACGCCGCGUGGGUGAUGAAGGUCUUCGGACUGUAAAACCCUGUCGUCAGGGACGAAGGCAGCGGGAUGAAUAGUCCUGUUGUUUGACGGUACCUGGAGAAGAAGCUGCGGCUAACUACGUGCCAGCAGCCGCGGUAAUACAGAGGGGGC
rnacentral:rRNA from 1 species